AUACGGAGGGUGCAAGCGUUACUCGGAAUCACUGGGCGUAAAGCGCGCGCAGGCGGCUUGAUAAGUUGGAUGUGAAAGCCUACGGCUCAACCGUAGAACUGCAUCCAAAACUGUCAGGCUAGAGUGUGGGAGAGGAAGAUGGAAUUAGUUGUGUAGGGGUAAAAUCCGUAGAGAUAACUAGGAAUACCAAAAGCGAAGGCAAUCUUCUGGAACACUACUGACGCUGAGGCGCGAAGGCGUAGGGAGCAAACAGGAUUAGAUACCCUUGUAGUCC
rnacentral:rRNA from 1 species